rnacentral:rRNA from 2 species
GGAAAGUAAAAAGUCGUAACAAGGUUUCCGUAGGUGAACCUGCGGAAGGAUCAUUACCGAGUGAGGGCCCUCUGGGUCCAACCUCCCACCCGUGUUUAUUUUACCUUGUUGCUUCGGCGGGCCCGCCUUAACUGGCCGCCGGGGGGGCUCACGCCCCCGGGCCCGCGCCCGCCGAAGACACCCUCGAACUCUGUCUGAAGAUUGUAGUCUGAGUGAAAAUAUAAAUUAUUUAAAACUUUCAACAACGGAUCUCUUGGUUCCGGCAUCGAUGAAGAACGCAGCGAAAUGCGAUACGUAAUGUGAAUUGCAAAUUCAGUGAAUCAUCGAGUCUUUGAACGCACAUUGCGCCCCCUGGUAUUCCGGGGGGCAUGCCUGUCCGAGCGUCAUUGCUGCCCUCAAGCACGGCUUGUGUGUUGGGCCCCGUCCUCCGAUCCCGGGGGACGGGCCCGAAAGGCAGCGGCGGCACCGCGUCCGGUCCUCGAGCGUAUGGGGCUUUGUCACCCGCUCUGUAGGCCCGGCCGGCGCUUGCCGAUCAACCCAAAUUUUUAUCCAGGUUGACCUCGGAUCAGGUAGGGAUACCCGCUGAACUUAAGCAUAUAGU